GCCGGGCGCGGUGGCGGGCGCCUGUAAUCCCAGCUACUCAGCAGGCUGAGGCAGGAGAAUCGCUUGAGCCCAGGAGGCGGAGGUUGCAGUGAGCCGAGAUCGCGCCACUGCACUCCAGCCUGGGCAACAGAACGAGACUCUGUCUCAA
ensembl:misc_RNA Metazoa_SRP Metazoan signal recognition particle RNA